rnacentral:rRNA from 1 species
AAUUUUGGACAAUGGGGGCAACCCUGAUCCAGCCAUCCCGCGUGUGCGAUGAAGGCUUACGGGUUGUAAAGCCCUUUUGGCAGGGAAGAAAAGGCUCUGGCUAAUACCUGGAACUGCUGACGGUACCUGCAGAAUAAGCACCGGCUACCCACGUGCCAGCAGCCGCGGUAAUACUUAGGGGGCAAGCGUUAAUCGGAAUUACUGGGCGUUAAGCGUGCGCCGGCGGUUCGGCAAGAAGGAUGUGAAAUACCAGGGCUUAACCUUGGAACUGCAUUAUUAACUGCCGGGCUAGAGUAGUUCAGAGGGGGGUAGAAUUCCGCGUGUAGCAGUGAAAUGCGUAGAGAUGCGGAGGAAUACCGAUGGCGAAGGCAGCCCCCUGGGAUAACACUGACGCUCAGGCACGAAAGCGUGGGUAGCAAAC